AACGAACGCUGGCGGCAGGCCUAACACAUGCAAGUCGAGCGAGGACUUCGGUCCUAGCGGCGGACGGGUGAGUAACGCGUGGGAACGUGCUCUUUGGUACGGAAUAGCCCCGGGAAACUGGGAGUAAUACCGUAUGGUGUCUUCGGACUAAAGAUUUAUCGCCAAAGGAUCGGCCCGCGUUGGAUUAGGUAGUUGGUGGGGUAAUGGCCUACCAAGCCGACGAUCCAUAGCUGGUUUGAGAGGAUGAUCAGCCACACUGGGACUGAGACACGGCCCAGACUCCUACGGGAGGCAGCAGUGGGGAAUCUUAGACAAUGGGGGCAACCCUGAUCUAGCCAUGCCGCGUGAGUGAUGAAGGCCCUAGGGUUGUAAAGCUCUUUCAGCUGGGAAGAUAAUGACGGUACCAGCAGAAGAAGCCCCGGCUAACUCCGUG
rnacentral:rRNA from 1 species